AAUUUGUUGAGGGCAUAUAAAAUGUAUGUGACUGUCAAAUCCGCCAGCGGUUAAAAUACGACCUUCUCCCGCAAUAGCUUCAGUUCCUGGCCCAACUAUAAUAUCUACACCUGGCUGAGUAUCAGGAUUUCCCGCUUUACCUAUUUUGAAAAUUCUUCCAUCUCUCAAGCCGACAUCAGCUUUAAAAAUUCCACUAUGAUCGAUAAUUAAUGCAUUAGUAAUUACAGUAUCUACUGCACCUUCUGCUCGGGUAGCUUGAGAUUGGCCCAUACCAUCUC
rnacentral:sRNA from 1 species